rnacentral:rRNA from 1 species
AUACGGAGGAUGCAAGCGUUAUCCGGAUUUAUUGGGUUUAAAGGGAGCGUAGAUGGAUGUUUAAGUCAGUUGUGAAAGUUCGGGGCUCAACCCCGGAAUUGCAGUUGAUACUGGAUAUCUUGAGUACAGUUGAGGUAGGCGGAAUUCGUGGUGUAGCGGUGAAAUGCAUAGAUAUCACGAAGAACUCCGAUCGCGAAGGCAGCCUUCCGGCCCGUCAACGACGCUCAUGCUCGAAGGUGCGGGUAUCAAACAGGAUUAGAUACCCUGGUAAUCCGCACAGUAAACGAUGGACACCCGCGGUUUGGCCUGUAUGGCUGAGCCGCCAAGCGAAAGCGUUAAGUGUCCCACCUGGGGAGUACGCCGGCAACGGUGAAACUCAAAGGAAUCGACGGGG